UACGAAGGGGGCUAGCGUUGCUCGGAAUCACUGGGCGUAAAGGGUGCGUAGGCGGGUCUUUAAGUCAGGGGUGAAAUCCUGGAGCUCAACUCCAGAACUGCCUUUGAUACUGAGGAUCUUGAGUACGGGAGAGGUGAGUGGAACUGCGAGUGUAGAGGUGAAAUUCGUAGAUAUUCGCAAGAACACCAGUGGCGAAGGCGGCUCACUGGACUGGUAUUGACGCUGAGGUGCGAAAGCGUGGGGAGCAAACAGG
rnacentral:rRNA from 1 species